GGGCGCAUAGCUCAGUGGUAGAGCAUCGCCCUUACAAGGCGAGUGUCGGCGGUUCGAACCCGUCUGCGCCCA
rnacentral:tRNA from 1 species